UCUCUACAUGUGGGCGGGAAUGAAACGCCUCUUUCCGCUGAUUGGUCAACCAGACGUCAAACCAUGUCGUCAUCAGUUGUUCAUCGGUUCAGCUCAACAGAAUAAAAGUCCCUCGCUCUACAGCUGUACGGAUUCUUAACGCGUUUAUUCUACAUUUAAUCUCUUUCUCAUCAAAUAGCCAGACUAGUGAAUGGCUUGACACAAAUCGUUCGAGUCAGGGCUUAAUUCUGUGUAGACAUUAAUUCAUCAUGAGAAAUAUUAGUUUAUCUCAUAAAUAUUAAUUUACUUUGCAGCCUCACACAACUAGCCUACCCCCAGCCUACAACUUUGAAACAUUGAGUGUAGAAAUGUCUUUUGUUUUAGACAACAUGGGAUGGAUAUGAAAUGAUAGAUAGGCUAUGAAUAUUAUGCCUAUUCUAUUUUGUUUCUAUUUUUUUUUUUUUUUUCAUAGAGAAGUGUAGGACAUGUCAAAUGUCAAAUAUUAAGUUAUCCUUGUGUAUCAUAUAUAUAUAAUAGGCAACAUGCUAUUUUUUCCUUUUCUUAAAGUUAUAACUUUUGUUUAAGGCAAUAUUCUGAGUUUAUUUCAUUAAUAUUGAGUAUUAAUGAAUGUCACACAAACCGGUGUUUUAAUUUCUCUGCCGACUAAACUUCCAAUGCAGAUCAGAACCGUUGUCUGACUGACUCGUAGCGCACAGAGCAGUGUUUCAUUCCUGAAUGAAUCAGAGUCUUUGAACAAAUCAGUUGACUGAGUGAUUCAAUGGCCCAAAAGAUUAUAGAGAACCAAUUGAUAUAUUCUUGAAUGAAUCAGCGUUUUGAACGAAUCGCUUAAAUAAAUGAUUCAAUCAUUAACACAAUGGCUGCGUCCGAAACCACCUACUUCUCUACUAUUUAGUAGGGGAAAAGCAGUAGGCGAGCGAAUAAGUAUUUCAGAAGCAAAAAGAGUAGGCGAAAAUUACCUAGGUGACGUAAUAAUUCUCGCGAGAUUCGGCCGUGCGCCUACUUAAAGUGCGUCCGAAACCGCCUACUUACCUAAUAUAUAAUAGGGGAAAAGCAGUAGGCGAGCGAAUAAGUAUGUCAGAAACCUCAGUAAUCAUUAAUGAGUAGUUGAGAGGUUCCCGGAUGGCCUACUGCUUCCGCCCAGAUUCUGAAGUGUUCCUCGCUGGAUACUUUUCUAUCCCAGCAGGCCACGGGAGAGGAUACGUCAUAAUCGAACACGGAGAAAAGUGACGCGGAUGCUGUCAAAUAGCUUUGUGUUGGAGCAGGACCUACAAGGAAAGAUGACAGUGGCAUUUGUGAAAAAAAGAAAAAAAAAGGAAAACCUGAAACACAAAUAUAAAGAUCAUUUUGUUACUUCUAAUACAGAAAUCAGAUGACAUUGUACUGCUAAAAUGACUGCUUUUGUAUUAUGUUUGUGCAUUAUUGUAGGAUGUGAAUGUCCUCAGACGGGUGUGAGCACUGAGGAUGGAGAGCCACAGCAGAUCCUGGGAAUGGUUCAAUGUCAUGGAUGAGACCCUCCAUCACUCCUCCUGCCCUUACUGCCUCAUCUGACCUGAUGUUGAUGUGAUUUCUUCAUCCUCAGGAUGAUCCCGUUGGAGUAACCUGGAGUAAAGCGUCUUGAUCAAGGACACACUGGAGGAGACGCUGCAGAGAUCGAACCAGCAAACCUUCUGCUGACCAGCUCAGUGGUUUAGACCACUACACCACAAAAUCAUGAUGAUGGAGAGCACAUGGAUGUUUGCAGCAGACACAGCAGAGCCAGAUUGUCCCGCACAUCUUCUCCCACUCCUGCUUCAAGGGUUCAGAGGACCAUCAUCAUGGUCUUCCUCAUCCUCUGGAUCAACGAUGUCUCCAUUGAGAAGAGCAGUGGUGAGGGACAUGAUGGAUGAAGGUGUUCAUCAGCUGCUUCAUCAGAAUAAAGCUGCAGAAUUGGCACAGCUGUGUUACCCUAGUGAAAAAAAAGUAUACUUUAUUGUAUUUUAAAUAUAUUCCC